GUUGGUGGAGUGAUUUGUCUGGUUAAUUCCGUUAACGAACGAGACCUCCGCUUGCUAAAUAGGUGAGGUAUUAUUUAUAAUGCUUUAAAAGUGAUUCGUCACUAUUUUUAAUCACUCUUCUUAGAGGGACAUUCGGUUUUUAGCCGAAGGAAGUUGGAGGCAAUAACAGGU
rnacentral:rRNA from 1 species